GACAGAGGGUGCAAACGUUGUUCGGAAUUACUGGGCGUAAAGCGCGUGUAGGCGGCAAUACAAGUCGGAUGUGAAAUCCCGCGGCUUAACCGUGGAAGUGCACCCGAAACUGUAUCGCUAGAGUCCCGGAGAGGAUGGUGGAAUACUUGGUGUAGAGGUGAAAUUCGUAGAUAUCAAGUGGAACACCGGUGGCGAAGGCGGCCAUCUGGACGGUGACUGACGCUGAGACGCGAAAGCGUGGGGAGCGAACAGG
rnacentral:rRNA from 1 species